CGGGGGGCUGCAGGCGCGAAAACUCCGCAAUGCGCGAAAGCGUGACGGGGGGACCCCAAGUGCCGUUGGUCUUUUGAUCGACGGCUUUUCGGGAGUCUAAGAAGCUCCCGGAAUAAGGGCUGGGUAAGGCUGGUGCCAGCCGCCGCGGUAACACCAGCAGCCCAAGUGGUGGCCGCGAUUAUUGGGCCUAAAGCGCUCGUAGCCGGGCUAGCAAGUCCCUUGUGAAAUCGGGCCGCCCAACGGUUCGGCGUGCAAGGGAUACUGUUGGUCUUGAGGCCGGGAGAGGUCGGAGGUACUCCUGGGGUAGCGGUGAAAUGCUCUAAUCCUGGGGGGACCACCAGUGGCGAAGGCGUCCGACCAGAACGGACCUGACGGUGAGGGGCGAAGGCUAGGGGAGCGAACGGGAUUAGAUACCCCAGUAGUC
rnacentral:rRNA from 1 species